UGGGGAAUAUUGCGCAAUGGGCGAAAGCCUGACGCAGCGACGCCGCGUGAGGGAUGAAGGUUUUCGGAUCGUAAACCUCUGUCAGAAGGGAAGAAACCGCACUGUGCUAAUCAGCAGUGCCUUGACGGUACCUUCAAAGGAAGCACCGGCUAACUCCGUGCCAGCAGCCGCGGUAAUACGGAGGGUGCAAGCGUUAAUCGGAAUUACUGGGCGUAAAGCGCACGUAGGCUGCUUUGUAAGUCAGGGGUGAAAUCCCACGGCUCAACCGUGGAACUGCCUUUGAUACUGCUUAGCUUGAAUCCGGGAGAGGGUGGCGGAAUUCCAGGUGUAGGAGUGAAAUCCGUAGAUAUCUGGAGGAACAUCAGUGGCGAAGGCGGCCACCUGGACCGGUAUUGACGCAGAGGUGCGAAAGCGUGGGGAGCAAACAGG
rnacentral:rRNA from 1 species